GUGAUUUGAAAAUGAAGGGUUUAAAGUUUAUUGGCUACGAAGACGAGUGUCGAUUUCAUGCCUCAAAGUCUCGACAAUGGGUUUGACUUAAACCCCCCGAAAGAUAAAGUCGGUGCUAUUCACCAAUAUGAGGCGCAUUGUCCCAUUCUUAACUACAAUACUAUAGGGGCUUGAAAUGGCAGAUUAGCGGGAACCUUUCCAGUUCACUGGGUCCCCAUUAUUGUCAUGCAUAUCGACUGCUUAUUUUUUUCAUUCUAAUGUCUGGCAUUGCACUUCAGUAAAUUUUAUGUGUUCUUCUGCGAUUUUUGAAUCUUUUUCGGGAGCUGCACAAUGGAUCUAAGUUCCCCGAGUGAGCGUGAUUAUAGCGAUUGUGGAUACUAGACGUGUGUCAUUAUAUAACCUAAGCUUAAGAACCUAACACAAAAAUCAUCUUAUAACAUUUUUAUUUUGAUGUUUAUAUUUUUGUAAGGCGAAUUCAAACAUUAAUUGACAUAUCAAAUUCUAUCAGCUGGGUUGAUGCGGCCACCUGAUAAAUACGCCUUGCUGGUCAUUUGGAUGAAGAAGAAAGGUCACGUUGAAGACGAUUUUAGCGGCUGAAUAACUAAAAAUGCACAUAUUCCGGCUGCCAGGUUACAAAGAUGUCAUAGAGAAUUGUAGAGUCAAUGGCCUUGCAAUACUAGGGACUACCUUGCUUGGGUAUCCCUUGAACGAAAUCGCCAUGAGCAGAUGUGUCUUAAUUGGUUGUUGUUAUAGCAGUGUUUUGUACACUGAGGCGGCAGCCGUUGCCAACAAAGGACUCCAUCGGGUCAAUCCGGUGCGUACAACAGGCUGCCAUCGGAUUGUUUUUAAUUGGUCUGUCAUAUUUGUUAAAGAGCCAUAAAAACGUUUAUCAAAAAAAAAAAACGCAUACAAUCCAAAAAAUGCAUGAAAUCUUUAUUUGAAUCGAUAGUACGGUCUAUGUAAUUAAAUGUUUAAUGAUUAUUUUAUGCAAAUGUUGACCGUGACUGCGCCUCAAAUGUUCCAUUCGCUUAGUCCAAUACUCUUUCCAACAUUUCGGC